rnacentral:lncRNA from 1 species
UUGAACUGCUGCAAGAUUUGGUUAUCCGACAUUGAUUUUUACAUAUAUCCAUAUGGGUCAAUCAAUUUUUGCCAAAUUAAGUUAAUAGGGGGGUAGGGGGGUCAGUGAAAAAACUAUUUGAAUUAAGUUUUUUAUCCUUCAUUGAACUUUUGAUGUCGUCCCUUAUUGAUAUGUGAAAAACAUUUAUUGAUAUGUGAAGACCAUUUUAUUUUAUUACUCUAGGAAUAGGUGUGUGCUAUGUUAGAUUCACAGUUUUCAUUGAAUUUAUUGCUAUGUUAUUUAUUACACCAUUUUAAUUUAUGAUUUUGACAGUCUAAAAGAAGUCAUACAAUUCAAAGGAUAUACAGCAUGAGAAAAAAUAUCAUUGUGAAAACAGAACCACAAAGAUAUUUUCAUUACAAUCUAGUCACCUAAUAAAUUAUUUAUUUUCUACUAAGUAGAUUAAUGUAAAAGGUUACUUUGAACUCUGUUUACUUUUGACCACGGACACAUAAUAUGUGUAGUACCCCAAAACUGUGCUGGAACUACUCUUAUUAUUGACCAAAGAAAGCCAUACAAUUAAAAUAAAUAUCAUUUUGAUAGCAAAUAUUUUCAUUUUGUUGUGAGAAGUGAGUGAAAUUUGGUAUGUUUAAAGACAAUGUCUUUAAUUCUGUUUUAUUUGCAGUUUGUUUUAUGUCAUAACAUCGAAGAAAAAGGACCCUUUUCAGGCUCCAAAAAAGUUAACUACAAGAGAGAGUUAAUGCAAUACUAACACUUCUUACACUAACUUGUUUUUCAAAAUUUUAUGUCAUAUUUGAUACAAGGAAUUUUAAAAAAAAAAAGUUUGUUUAUGAUACAUUUUAAAAACAGAACAGAUCUUGAGGGGGAAUGUAACAUAUACAAAAAGACAUAAAUUUCAUGGCGUUAUGUUUAAGCAGAGUUCAUUGUUUCCUUAAAACUUUGUUUUGUGCAAUGUAACAUAUUUAAAUUGUUAAAUCCUUAUAACUUUAUAGUAUUAGUUAAGUAUAACCAUUUUAUAGAGUGCCAUUUUGGAAUCUCAUGAGUCUAAAGAUAUAGGACAGAAUGUUGUUAAAUAUAUGUUAGCAUAUAUAGCUGUGAUAGUGUGUACCUUUGAAUAGUUGAAACAUACAGACCAGAGAUUUGACUGAAAAUUGACACGAAAAUUAAAAAAAUAGGAAAACACAAAAAAGAUGAUAGGGACUUCUAAUGACCUUGACUGGCUACAGUCCGUGCAUGGUCACUAAUAAUACAAAAAACUAGAAAUAACACAUCUUGUGUAGUGAUUCAUUGGUUUAUUGGCUAAAAAAAUAUAAUUCUGCAUUACAUUGUCACAAUUCAUUUUCUUUCAAUUUUAUCAAAACACUGAUCUGUGUCCACACUUCUCUUACAUGGAUCUGACAAGACUCUAGUCUACUUUCUGUUUAAUCAACAUUUGGGAUCCUCAGGUUUUCAAAAAAUUGGUUAAAGAAACUUCAUUGGUUAAAUAAACAGGAAGUAAAAUGGAAUGUUGUCAGAUCUUUGUAGCAAAGUGUGGACACAGGACCUGCUUUUUAAGAAGAUUGAUUUUCUUAAAUUUACAUUACUUUAAAAGAUAUCAACAUUUUUUUGAGGCAUUUCAACUUUGUAAAGUAACUUAUUAAAUAAUAAUUUUUCAAGUUGAUACUUUAAAAUUAAUGGGCAUGAGAUGGUAAAUGUUUACUAUUUGAUGCAUAAUUCUGCACAAUAUUAAUUAAAUCCAUAUUAUUUAUUAAUCACCUUGAGUUAAAUAUUGAUAUAUAUUAAACUGUGAUAUGUAUAGAUUUGUACAUAAAUCAUUGUUGCUAGAGAAAGGUGUGUGUUUAUAAAGAAGUUUUUAAUAAACUUAUCUUACAAACUUUUUAUUUAUCAAUUGUUACCUCAACAGAGGACAUUUUUGUCAAGCCUGUAUCAUUUAUGUUGUGAAAGUGAAACAUAAUGAUCUAGAUUCUGUCAUCAGCAGCAUCAACAAUUAGUUUCAGUCUGUGGUGAAAGUUUUUAUUGACAUCAAGAACUUUGUCAAACCUUUGCAGAAUUUUAUGAAGUUCAAAAAUAAAGUAUCCAAAGCAAAAUUUUGAAAAUAUUAUUUUCAUUUUUGGUAUUUUACUAAUAAAUAGACAUUUUUUUUUGUCUGGCCUGC